GAUGAACGCUGGCGGCGUGCCUAAUACAUGCAAGUCGAGCGAACGGACGAGGAGCUUGCUUUUCUGAUGUUAGCGGCGGACGGGUGAGUAACACGUGGAUAACCUACCUAUAAGACUGGGAUAACUUCGGGAAACCGGAGCUAAUACCGGAUAAUAUUUUGAACCGCAUGGUUCAAUAGUGAAAGACGGUUUUGCUGUCACUUAUAGAUGGAUCCGCGCCGCAUUAGCUAGUUGGUAAGGUAACGGCUUACCAAGGCAACGAUGCAUAGCCGACCUGAGAGGGUGAUCGGCCACACUGGAACUGAGACACGGUCCAGACUCCUACGGGAGGCAGCAGUAGGGAAUCUUCCGCAAUGGGCGAAAGCUUGACGGAGCAACGCCGCGUGAGUGAUGAAGGUCUUCGGAUCGUAAAACUCUGUUAUUAGGGAAGAACAAAUGUGUAAGUAACUGUGCACAUCUUGACGGUACCUAAUCAGAAAGCCACGGCUAACUACGUG
rnacentral:rRNA from 1 species